rfam:Pan troglodytes isolate Yerkes chimp pedigree #C0471 (Clint) chromosome 1, whole genome shotgun sequence.
AAACAAAUAGGUUUGGUCCUGGCCUAUCUUUAACUCUCAGUGAGAUUACACAUGCAAGCAUCCCCGCCCCAGUGAAAAUGCCCUCUAGAUCAUCCAGAUCAAAAGGAGCAAGUAUCAAGCACGCACAAAUGCAGCUCAAAACGCUUUACUCAACCACACCCCCACGGGAAACAGCAGUGAUAAAUUGUUAGCAAUAAACGAAAGUUUAAGCUAUACUGAUAUUUAGGGUUGGUCAAUUUCAUGCUAGCCACCGUGGCCAUAUGAUUAGCCCAAGCUAAUAGAACUCGGUGUAAAGAGUGUUUAAGGUUUGCCCUCAAUAAAGCUAAACUCCAUCUACGUUGUGAAAAAUUCCAGCUGAAAUAAAAUAUACUACGAAAGUGGCUUUAAUAUCCUCAAGACGCAAUAGCUAAGACCCAAACUGGGAUUAGAUACCCCACUGUGCUUAGCCCUAAGCUCUAAUAGUUAAACUAACAAAACCAUUCGCCAGAAUACUGCAAGCAACAGCUUCAAAUUCAAAGGACUUGGCGGUACUUUAUAUCCCUCUAGAGGAGCCUGUUCUAUAAUCGAUAAACCCCGAUAUACCUCACCACCUCUUGCCCCCAGCCUAUAUACCGCCAUCUUCAGUAAACCCUAAAAAGGCAAUAAAGUAAGCACAAGUACACACAUAAAAACGUUAGGUCAAGGCGUAGCCCAUGAGGUGGCAAGAAAUGGGCUACAUUUUCUAUACCCAGAAAAUAUUACCACCACCCUUAUGAAAUCUAAGGGCUCAAGGAGAAUUUAGCAGGAAACCAAGAGUAGAGUGCUUGGUUGAAUAAGGCCAUGAAGCAUGCACCCACUGCCCGUCACCCUCCUCAAAUGUUCUAAAAAUUAUUAUAGCUAAAACUCUCUACAUACAUUCAGAGGAAAUAAGUCAUAGUAACAUGGUAAGCGUACUGGAAAGUGCGCUUGGACAAACAUACUU